UACGUAGGUGGCAAGCGUUGUCCGGAUUUAUUGGGUUUAAAGGGUGCGUAGGCGGUUUAAUAAGUCAGUGGUGAAAUACGGCAGCUCAACUGUCGAGGUGCCAUUGACACUGUUGGACUUGAGUACAGACGAGGUAGGCGGAAUUGACGGUGUAGCGGUGAAAUGCUUAGAUAUCGUCAAGAACACCGAUAGCGAAGGCAGCUUACUAGGCUGUAACUGACGCUGAGGCACGAAAGUGUGGGGAUCAAACAGG
rnacentral:rRNA from 1 species